CACUAGCUACAUAGGGGUGAAACCAGCCAACCUGGUGCUCUUAUUCACUGAGGUAACUAGCAUGAUGUUUGAUGGAUACAGCCUAGUAAGAGGGAUGUAAACUGGCGAGGCCGCUUGGGCCACCUCAUCCCUGGCUGUGUAGGGGUCUGUACCAGGGUAGAGGGAAGCAAUCAGGAAAGCUGAGUCACUCAGUCAUCAUUGACUUCCCAGGAACAGAGUAUUUGUUAAAGUAAAUGGGAUUCUGUGAAGCGAGAUGAGAGGUUGGAGGGAACACUGAAACUGAAAUUACCCUGCGGAGGAAGAGAAGACGGAGAAAGGGACAGGAAGGAAGAGUUGGAGGGGAGCAGAAACAAGCCAGGUCAGUUCUCAACUUUUCCACCAGGAAGAGAACGUGCAGGCGUGCACAGGUUCUUCUCAUUUUUCCUGAUUAGGUAUGCAAGGAAUUUUAUCUUCAUCCGGGCUUCAUUGACUGAGUUCUCCUUAAAUGUGGUGGUUCUGAAUUAAUUUCACGUGGGAAAAAAGAAAGCUGCAGUGAUUUUCCUAAAGAAUGUUGUUGAAGCACUAUCAUGAGAGGUCAACUUUUAAAUUUUACAUUUAGGAAAAAGAACUUCAAAAGCCCCAUGAAUUUGGAGAGAAAUGAAGUUCUAGUGAUGGCUACACCACAUACUAGUUCUCUAACCUGGGGCAAGUUAUUUAACCUUCCUAGGCUUCAGAUUCCUCCUCUGAGUUAGUAUUGUCAACCCUGACCCAUCCUUCCUCACUGGACUGCCAUGACGAUGACAGGCUGUAAAGGAUGUCAGAACCCAUUGUAAACUGUUAAGUUAGACAAGGUAUUUUUAUUUUCAACGGCAAGGGACAAGUUCAGGUAGUUAAAAUGUUUUCCCAAAGGACAGAAGCAGCAAAUUCUUAAUUUGGGAAUAACUAUAUAGCAUUUUCUAUUAACAAUCAUAUCAUGUAAUAAAUAUCAAUAUAAAUAACAGUAGCAUUUAUAUAAAUUAAGAAGAUCUAAUGAAGGCCAAUGAAUUGAUUUUUUUCCCCACAAGUAUUUGUGAAACAUUCUCUACAUGCAAGGAAUUAUGCUGAAUUCAUGAGAAAUGCCACAAUUAUUAUGACACAUCCACUGCCUUCCAGGGCCCACACCCCACUGUGAACACAAUAUACAGAGUAUUUGUUUUCUCUCAUUUAGCAGCUACUGAUGAACAUCGUGCCAAACAUUGUGCUAUUUACUGGUGAUGUACCUGGGACUAUCCUACCCAACAAUCUGAACCACAAUAAGUCUGAGAGUGCAGUGGGAUAUCUGAAGCAAAAGAAAGUAAUUACAAUAGUGAGCUCUUGAGGGCAUCUAGCUCAUGGUGGAUUAUACAUGAAAGCACAACUUUGAAUGAUAAGUAGAAUAAGUUUAUAGGCUAAACUGGUCAGCAAGUUACUUAUCCCCAUUUAAAGUAGAAGUGAGAAUAAAGGUAAUGAUCUAGAGAUAUAUAAAUGUGUACACACAGACACACCUCUGUGUAUAUGUAUAUAAAGCGGCCUUUAUUUUUGUUUCCCAUGGGCAUUGGAUUUUUUAAUAUAUGGUUUCUCUGUUAACAUGUGGUUAUAAUUUUUAAAGAAAUUCUAUAGAAUACAAAUGUUUGAAAAAUGCGGUGAAUCUAAAAUUACCUUUAAGUUUGAUAAAAUAGGGUCUCUGGUGUUGAGAAAGGAAACCUUAAAGUUACAUCCCACAUCCUCCUUUUAACUUUACAGAUGAGUUUCCCCCCUCCUGCCUCUAAAUUCAAAACAUGAUACAUCUGGCUCAGAGUCUGGAAAAUUGUUACAUGCCUGUGUAACAUUCUUAUAACCUAAUCGUUCUACAACUUUUCUCGCAGUUUAAUCAUUGGAGAAUGUUCUUUGUUUUUGUAGUCGCUGUUUCACAUAGUAACAGCUUGUUGUAUUUUGGUCUGUUUGCCAGAGGGAAGGUUUAUUUUUAAAACCCUGAACUCUGAAUUUUUCUUUAUUUUUUCAAGAUUGAAAGCAGCUGAAAUGCCUGGAGUUACAGGUUGAAGGCUGCUUUACAAUAUGUGAAGGGAAGCUUCUUUCCCUCCUCCCUUUGUGUGUGUGUGUGUUUUUAAAUUUUUUCCUAACAAAUGUCUUCUAACUGGUAGUUGUCUAAAAAUAGAAAACUGCCUAACUAAAAAUAGCCUGGCUCUCAGUCGUGCCAAGGAAAAUGGAGAGGAAUAGGCGUGGAAUAGAAGGCUGAGUAAUCCAGUUCUAUUCAUUCAGAGAAACCUUUGAGAAUGCGGGCGAUGAUAAAGUGCCCUCCAAAAACCACAGGCCUGACUCUCUCUUCAGACUUCUAGGUGCCAAUAAACAUUUUAGCCCCAGGAUACAUUUUUUUCUCAUAGGUUGUAAACAUUUUCUGAAAGACUAGGCUUUGUUUCACAGGACCUGACAAACUGCCAUCACUAACCAACUUUCCUAAGGUCUUAAAAAUUCAUAAUUAUAACAUGUAUUUUAAAAGAGCAUCUUAAAUGAAAGUAUUGUAAAAUAAUGUGCAUCAUGUAAUAAUUAAGAGGAAACUGUUAUAAUAAAAAACGCUUACUGCUUGCAAUUAAAUUCAAAACUUUAAAGAGUUUUGCAGAAAGAAAAUUAUUCCUGUGACUCAUUGUAGCUAAAGAGAGCAGCUGACUUAUUUUAGUUUGGUUCCCUUAGAUGUAAAAUUCUCGUGUUAAGCAUAUAAUCCCCUUGUUAUACCAAUAUUUAGUCUCUUUUUUACAAUUAUAGUUUUCAUCCAAGCAGAUUUUCACUUUUCAGUUUUUAAAUAGAGUGUAAACUACUUUGAAAAAUAACAUUUCGAAUGUAGGAUGGCUUUCAGUUUAGAGAAAUGGAAUUCUGAGUAAGCCAUUAAAAAAAUACGUAGGCCAGUUUUGCAAUGGUAAUGCUUUUUUUUUUUUUCUUCAUUUUGUUUUGCUUAAGUAAUCUGAAUAACCAGGUCAAACAUAGCAACAGGGUGUGGAAAUGUCAGCACAGUUCACGGGGUUAUAUGGGUCUGAGCAUUGUUAUGUUCAGUUCCUGUAAUGCUGCUGGUGAUAAGACUCUUGAGACAAAGAACAAUAAUUGAUGGAAAGAGACUUAAAUCACUGCGAGAAGAAUCAAGGUCCUUGUAUCUGUGUACAUCGACUCUUCUGGUCCCCUUCCGUCUUGUAAAGCAUUUUGUCAUCUUGCACGGUGGCCCCCUACUGCUCUUUGUAACGGAUGCAGACCACAAGUGAUUCCUUCAUGCCUCACACAGGGUGUAAUUGUGUCUGUGUGGUGUAUUAGUAAUUACCAAGCUGAAUUCCCAUAUUGUAUCUUUACUGCAGGCAUGGAAAAAUAGGACAUACGACCCUGCAUAGCCAUUUUCAACCUAGAUAGUGAGCUACUGAGAGCUACAUUCCCAGGACAAAGCCUUUUAUAUGCACACUUUUUGAACAAAAUUUUCAUUGUUGAGUCAUUUAUGCAGUGCAGGAUAAAUUCAGUUUUGGAAAUAAUUACUUUUGAUAAUAUAUUCACUUCUGACUUUUCAGCAAAGCCUUUGCAAUAUGGAAAAUAUUGCUGUUUUUAAUUGCUAAAAAUUCAUUUUAAUAUUGCUAGAUAUAUAGUGAUAUAAGCUACAAUAACUAUGCUAGACUGUCAUGUAGAGAGAGUAAAACACAAAUUACUAUAUAUAAAACAGAUUGUAUAACAUUCAUAAACAUUAAAUAAUAUAAUUGUUUGAGUAGCAUUUUUUACCUUAAGUAGUGAUAUUUUGAAACACAAUUUAUCCAGUCUUGGCCUAGCAUUGUUAAACUUCAGAAAAAGCUGACAACAAAAUUUUUGUUACAGUAAGCAGAUAUAAAUUAAUAAUUAAUUUCUUUGCUAUAAAAUUUGCAUCCAUUCUUUAUGUAUUAUGUAGCCAUUAUUGAUUUGACUAUCUCCUAGUCAUUGGGAAUUUGAAAUGUCUAUAGUAUUAUUUAUCUGUAGUAGAAGCCAAAAUAACACAAGCAGGAUGGUUUAAACAAGUGUGUUUAUUCUCUGCAUCCACUGCUUAUAAAGAUAGUUGAUAACCAUUAAGUACAAUAGCAAAGAAAUGAAUAUGACCAUCUCAUUAGUGAUAACCAAGGACAUUAGAUUUAUUUUGUGAAUAAUCAAAGCAUGCAAGAUUUUAAUUCCAUUUUUACCUCCAAAUUUAAAAGUAACCUUCCAACAUGUAUAUUUUAGAAGUUUAUCUCCACUUUGACCUGUUUUUAUUCUGAUAAUAAUUACUCACUACCUAGGAUGUAAAGAACUUCAUAGUGAUGCUAGGAGAGAUGUAAGUUUGGAAAACAUGAUCUGUGAUCUCAUAAAAUCUAUAGUCUAGCUAAGAUAGAAAAUAUACAUGUGAAUCAACCAGAGGAAACAACAUAACAGGCACUAUGAGAUAUUAGGCAGGCAGCAUAGCAUAAUGUUAGGGAGCCUCAGGUCCCAAACUAGGACUAAGCUGCCUGAGUUCUUCUCCCUCUCCACUGCUUACUAGUUGUAACUGCCUGGGCAAGUCACUUAGGCGCUCUUCAUCUUAAUUUCUGCAUUUGUAAGUGGGAGUUAAUAAUAGUAGCUAUAGUACAUAGUUAUCAUGACAUUUAAGUGAUUGAACAUUUUCAAAUGCGUGGAACAGGGUCUGGCACAAACUAAGGUUUAUGGUGAUGAUGAGGAUAUCUUGCAGUCAAGUAAUACUGAAGGAAGUAGAAUAUUUUAAAAGUCAGUAAAGGUGGCCACGAUAGGUAGUCACUUUUAGGCUUAAACAAGUUAAGUGCAGAAAGAUGGUUAUGAAUUGAUGAAAAGUUAUGUGAAGAUCCACAAGAAGAAAGGGACAAGGUCAUGGCAAAUAUUAUUUUGAUAAGAAUAGAAGAUUGACAUACAAAAGAAGCUGUUAGAAAGAUAGCAAGGGAAAUGAGGAAACAGGUAAAUCAAGUGCUCUAAAUGUUUGAAUGCAAUAUGGGAGGCAUGAGAAUGAUACCGAGAGGUCUCAAGCAGUAGAAUAGCAUAAUGACAACCAAUUCUUGAGGGAGAUUCUACUAGAAAACGUAUCUAGUUAGAAGCACGUAGUGGUAAAAUGUGCAAGUGCCAAAACAUUUUAAUUUUAUAAGUAACAUAUUGUGUACAUGCUAUAAAGCCUGAAACCUGUCAUUAUACUGAUAUAUUUUAAGCCAAUUAUGUCAUCCUAUGAACAUCUAAGAUUAUAAUAUGGAAAGUUGUUUUUGAAAUAUGCAUGUAAUUUCAGUUUGCACUGAUAAUAUGCACAUGCAUUUCUCUGAAGACGAUAUAUCAGAUGUAGCAUCUUAGAGGAACAAAUUAUAGAGACCUCAGCAGGUGUAUUCAAACCAUGCAAGCUUCUCUACAUUAAACUGAAGAAAUCAAAAUCAAUAAAUUUAGACAUUCCUAAUGAAGUAUACGCACCUUCAGUGACCACACAAACAUUCUGCAUGCAAUACUGCCAAAUAUAAAAACUCUAUCCUCACACUUUCACAUCUAUAAUCUUUUCAUUGUAAGAGCAUGGUGUGGAAGAAGGGGCAGGCACAAGUUCUAGAUGGUCAGACAAACCUGGUUUCUCCCACUUUCAUAAACUCCAUGCACUUGUUUAAGUUUCUUUGCCUCCACUGAAGUUUAGCUUCAAAAGCAGUAAAGUAGGGAUAAUCCAUCUCACUUUUGGUCUUUUUGUAAAAAUUAACUUUUAUAUUAACUUUUAUAUGUACAUAUAUAAUAAGCAUUAGCACUUCCUAGAAGCAUCAUGCCCAUAAACAUGACAUUUCCUUUCCUGCUGCUCCUCUGCAUGUUUAAAGCUAGACAGCAUUUUUAACUUCUUCCUCUCUCUCACACACAUGUAUUCACACCUUUGGACAUUGAAAUCUUCAGUGUAUUUCAUGAUUAUAGUCAAACAAAAUGGCACAUUUUGUAAAUUGCUGUAUAAUACAUGUAUAACUAUUUCUUGUGUAAUGAAGUUACGAAAUUAUUCAGAGGUAAGAGUUUCACUAUACAGAUUUUGAAACUAGGCAAAAGGUAGAGAAAGGUAAAAAACAAAGAGGUGUGACAGGUAACUCUGUUAACGUAAAG
rnacentral:lncRNA from 1 species